UACCUAAACUGAUAGCCUUGAGAGGCUAUUUCAGCGUAAAAUUAACUAGUAGGUGAGCUCACGGGGCUCAAACGUGACGACGCUGCUAACACGAACCCCAGCAAGAGCCGUGCUUCGCAGAAUCUACCACCGGAUUGGAAACGCGACCCACUUAGAAGAUCCGACGAGAAACUCCGUGGGCUGUGUCUGUGGGUUAAUUUACUCGUCGAUUCCUUCGUCGCAAGCGACGGGUUCGACGAGAACGAUGCCAGGUGCUUGAGGUACCUAAAAGCACCGUUAGUAGAUCCGAAGGAUCCGAGAUACUCGACGAGACCGGCAAUACUGGUAUAUACUGGUGGUAGGGCCUCUUGUGAGUCCGCACAGGUAGGCACCACCACCCUGCCUAUUUCUGCCGUGACUCAGUUAUGCGUUUCAGUUUGAAGGGUGGGGCAGCCGUUGUAACUAUACUUGAGACCUUAGAACUUAUAUUUCAAGGUGGGUGGCGCAUUUACGUCAUAGACGUCUAAGGGCUCCAGUAACCUCUUAACACCAGGUGGGCUGUGAGCUCGUCCACCCAUCAAAGCAAUGAAAAAAAAAACGUAAAUUUUCGUUUUGUUUAAUUGUUUUAAAGGUAAUCUUGUUUCACACUCGUUGUUAGGAUAGCUUCAGUUAUCUUCAUUAUCCUCGCACAGUUCAACGCAACCACACAAUUCACACAGCAUCGUGCACAAUGUUAUACAACAAAUACACUUGAUGCACCGGCAACAAAAGUCACUACAGAGACAGCAACACAUUUCUUCACACGCGUGCUUAACCUAUCAAUCCAUUUGCUUCUUCAUUCUUUCGCAUGUCCAACAACGUGCGUGCUAUUUUCUUUCGUCAAUUAAACAUCUAAAAAUUUAUUUUAUUAACAUUUUUGUUACGACAUUUGUACGUGUAAGUUCCUAUGAGAAAAAAUAUUCAAAACAAUCUUGAUAUAAAUUUUUUGGUUUUGACAGAUAAAUUUUGGUUAGAAAAUUUGAAAGAAGAAAUAUUGUUGACAUAUUAAAAAUUAGACAUAAUAUAUUAUUAAAUUAGUUACUUUUUGUUGUGAAUAGAAGACGAUUAGGUAGAUGUCGUUGGCUUGCCUUAAAAAGUUAAAUGGUUAGGUAUUUUAGUAUAUGUCAUUAAAUUAAUAGAAUAGAGAAACUUAAGAAAUUUAAUCUCAAUCAAAAUGAGGAUUAUCCAAUAUCCGACCCUUUUAAUAAGUUUACUUCCGAAAAGAGAUAGGAAGGAUAUUAAUGAAGUCCUUUCUCGCCGCCUUUUUCGCACAAUUCGCGACUUGACUGCUGUAAACUCAAACCAGUAAUUUUAAACUCAAACAAUAUACAGAAUCUAUCUAGAACAAUAAGAGAUCCGAUCAAACUUGAUCGUCACUAAAACUUUUACGAUAUAAUGUCACGUUUUUAAUACGCUUUUAUUAGCUUCAGACGCAUGUAUGUUAGUAUGUAACGGAAUCUUUGAAUAUGAUUUAGACCCCCUUCAAAACGUCGGAUUAACUCGAAAUUUGGUAUACUUAUUAAGGACCGAUGACAAUUCAAUAUUAAAAAAAUAUAUUGAAAAAAAUGGAAAUUCAACUAAAAAAAUUAAAAUUAAAUAAUAGUUUAAAAAAAACUAACAAAAUACGCUUUUAUAGAAAAUCCAACAAAAAAAUAGAAAAUAAAUUUUAAUAAAUUUGAAUUAAAAAUAGUGUAAGAAAAAAUGAUUUUAUUGUAAAAAAGAGUAUUUUAUUAGUUUUUUUUAAAUAUUAUUUAUUUUAACUCCGACUUCACGAAGUACCUACUUUAUAGUUUUCUUGGGCACGAACGACUAACGCUAUUACUAACAUUAACCUCCACCACUGAAGAAGUCUGUAAGGUAAAUGUAACAACAAAUAUGUCUUUUAAAUAAAACCCGUUUUUUUCUUUCAACAAAAUCUUGAUUUUUACUAAAUUAUCCUUCAUUUUUCUUCCAGGCAACACUAAAACCCGUAUCCCUGAACAGCUGAUCUGCGCCAUCCUUGUCCAACAUUAAGGAAACCUACAAAAUUACAAGUCUUAAUGUACAUACUAAUACCAAUCACUGUCUAUGUUACAGUUUCUCGAAUUCGGCAAAUAAACGCAUGACGUUUA